CCUACGGGAGGCUGCAGUGAGGAAUAUUGGUCAAUGGGCGGAAGCCUGAACCAGCCAAGUAGCGUGCAGGAUGACGGCCCUACGGGUUGUAAACUGCUUUUAUACGGGAAUAACGCGCCUUACGUGUAGGGCUUUGCAUGUACCGUAUGAAUAAGGACCGGCUAAUUCCGUGCCAGCAGCCGCGGUAAUACGAAGGGUGCGGGCGUUGUUCGGAAUUACUGGGCGUAAAGCGAGUGGAGGCGGAUAUGUAAGAUAGGGGUGAAAUGCCGGGGCUCAACCCCGGAACUGCCAUUAUGACUAUGUAUCUAGAGUAAUGGAGAGGAUAGCGGAAUACUCGGUGUAGAGGUGAAAUUCGUAGAUAUUGGGUAGAACACCGGUGGCGAAGGCGGGUAUCUGGCCAUUUACUGACGCUGAGGCUCGAAAGCAUGGGGAGCAAACAGGAUUAGAUACCCUAGUAGUC
rnacentral:rRNA from 1 species